UUAGUUGUAGUGGCUUGGGUCUAGGGGGGUUAUUUAUAGUAGUGGCUUGGUUGUCGGGGUUAUUUAGUUGUAGUGGCUUGGAGUCUAGGGGGUUAUUUAGUUGUAGUGGCUUGGAGUCUACAGGGUUAUUUGUUGUAGUGGCUUGGAGUCUACAGGGUUAUUUAGGAGUUGUAGUGGCUUGGAGUCUACAGGGUUAUUUAGUUGUAGUGGCUUGGAGUCUACAGGGUUAUUUAGUAGUAGUGGCUUGGAGUCUACGGGGUUAUUUAGUUGUAGUGGCUUGGAGUCUAGGGGGUUAUUUAGUUGUAGUGGCUUGGAGUCUAGGGGUUAUUUUUUGUUGUGCUUGGAGUCUAGGGGGGUGAUUUAGUAGUAGUGGCUUGGAGUCUAGGGGUGUGUUUAGUAGUAGUGGCUUGGAGUCUAGGGGGGUUAUUAGUAGUAGUGGCUUGGAGUUAGGGGGGUUAUUUAGUUGUGUGGCUUGGAGUCUACAGGGUUAUUUAGUUGUAGUGGCUUGGAUUCUACCGGGUUAUUUAGUUGUAGUGGUUGGAGUCUAGGGGGUGGUUUUAGUAGUAGUAGUGGCUUGGAGUCAAGGGGGUGGUUUAGUAGUUAGUAGUGGUUGGAGUCUGGGGGUUAUUUGUUGUAGUGGCUUGGAGUCUGGGGGUGAUUUGUGUAGUAGUGCUUGGGCUAGGGGGUGAUGAUUAUAGUAGUGGCUUGGGGGGGUAUUAGUAUUAGUUGCUUGGGGGUUAUUUAGUAGUAGUGCUUGGAGGCUAGGGGGUGUGAUUAUUAUAAAUAACCCUGUAGACUCCAAGCCACUACUACUAAAUAACCCUGUAGACUCCAAGCCACUACUACUAAAUAACCCUGUAGACUCCAAGCCACUACUACUAAAUAACCCCCCAUAGCCUCCUGAAUUGCUUACAGAAAAUUCAGAGAUCAUAAUGGUGACAGUAUUGAGCAUUAAAUAAAUACUACUAUCCCACAAACACUUCCUCAUGAAAACUAUAUAUCAUCUAGCCUUGUUCUGGUCCUCUGUGGACUUCCACGACAUCUCGGCCACUGAACCCUUCAUCCACACCACAUAAACAUCACUCAUUGACUUGAGGUUUUAGUUGAGUUGUAGUAGGUAAGACAGCCACAAGGGGGUGCUAUAGUACAAAGUAAGUGCUGGAGAGGGGGGAGGGGUGGUGGGAAUGGUUUCAGGACACUGAGGCAGAUUAUGCAGGUUGGCACAGCAAUGCACAGCUUAGCUGCACAGCAAUUUGAGGCUGUUGCAGAGUGCAGACACAGUAGUAACGUGAGACAGGAAGUACAGUCAAGAUAUCCAAAUCCAGGUUAGCUCACACAACCUCACCAGGCUGGUCCCAGAUCUGUUGUCUCCUUCUAUAGACUGGUCCCAGAUCUGUGGUCUCCUUCUAUAGCCUGGUCCCAGAUCUGUGGUCUCGUUCUAUAGCCCUAGAGUCAGAUGAAAGCAUGGAUACCAUUGCUGUGUCUCUGUUUGCAGUUUGAAUGAAGUUGCAAACCUAGCAGCAAACGAAACUACCUUAAAACCUCCUUCAAACUCCAUGUACAGAUACUGGACACGGAGACAUACACAUGGUCUCCACGUGUUCAUCUGAAUCUCGGGAAGUAGAUCAAGUCUUUCACUAAAAUAGUGAUGAGUUACAACCUGUAUUGGUGGCAAACAGAGAGUACAGCCACCUCAUCAUCUCUCUACAGUCCAGUGGUGUGAAUGAGAGUACAGCCACCUCAUCAUCUCUCUAUAGUCCAGUGGUGCGAAUGAGACUACAGCCACCUCAUCACCUCUCUACAGUCCAGUGGUGUGAAUGAGACUACAGCCACCUCAUCAUCUCUCUACAGCCCAGAGGUGUGACUGAGACUACAGCCACCUCAUCACCCCCAUACAGCCCAGUGGUGUGAAUGAGACUACAGCCACCUCAUCAUCUCUCUACAGUCCAGUGGUGUGAAUGAGACUACAGCCACCUCAUCAUCUCUCUAUAGUCCAGUGGUGUGAAUGAGACUACAGCCACCUCAUCACCUCUCUACAUUCCAGUGGUGUGAAUGAGACUACAACCACCUCAUCUCCUCCAUACAGCCCAAGGGUGUGAAUGAGAGCCAGGAGACUACAGCCAAAUUAGUGCAUUCAGCGAUUUCAGCCACACUCGUUGCUGACAGGCGUAUAAAAUUGAGCACACCGCCAUGCAAUCUCCAUAGACAAACAUUGGCAGGAGAUUGGCCCGUAUUAUAGAGCUCGUUGACUUUCAACGUGGAACCGUCAUAGAAUACCACCUUUCCAACAAGUCAGAUCGUCAAAUUUCUGCCCUGCUAGAGCUGCCCCGGUCAACUGUAAAUGUAAACGUCUUCGGAGCAACAACAGCUCAGCAGCGAAGAGGUAGGCCACACAAGGUCACAGAACGGGACCACCGAGUGCUGAAGUGCAUAAAAUUGUCUGUCCUCGGUUGCAACAUUCAACAUGCGCCCCCGAGUGUCGCAUCUCAGUACUAGACGCGUCACUACAGACCAUUGUUUGAUUCCAGGCUGUAUCACAACAGGCCGUUGUGAUUCACCACGAGA
ensembl:lncRNA